GCGAACAUCUAUAAAAAAACAGCACAUAUAUUAAAAUUGGAAUGACACAGAGAAGAUUAGCAUGGCCUUUGUGCAGGAUGACACACAAAUUCGUGAAGUGUUCCAUAUUUAA